UGGGCGCCUACAUGGCGG
rnacentral:misc_RNA from 1 species